ACGAUUUGGUUUGCUUCGAAGAAACAUUCACAGCACGGCCCGCACCAUCUAGGGCGCGUUCAGCAGGAUGCAUGAUCCUUCAGCCAGGCCCAAAUGGUGCAAGUGCUCUUUGAUUGGUAGCCUGUAGAGGAUCACGAGCCCAACUGAUGUAAACGAGGCCUCUCAGCCUGCACCACAUGGAACGUCAAAAAUCGGUCGUUCCGUGCGAUGCAGGCUCGGAGGGGUGGUUGGUGCGACCCCCGGUCCUUUUCUGCGCGCUCGACAACGAGGCCACGAGGGCCCGGCGGCGCGGGAGGUGCCCGGCGGCACGGAGCUGCCCGGCCGCGACGGAGCGGUGGUGGGAGGUAGCCAACUGCCGGCUCCCCACCGCAGCUCCCUUCUCCAACAUUCCCACCGCCUCUCCCUUCUCCACCAUUCCCACCGCUGGCUCCCCUCUGCAGCUCCCUUCUCCACCACCCCCACCGUUGACUCCCCACCGCAGCUCCCUUCUCCACCAUCGCGGGCCACGCGACCCUCCUCCCCACCGCUAGCGCCCGCGGCCCCCUCCUCCCCGCCGGCGCGUGCCGCACGAUGCCCGCUGCCCUCCUCCCGCUGCCGACGCCUGUGACUUCUUGCUCCACCGCCGGUGCUCCAUGACUCCGCUGAACUCAAAUUCACCGUGCUAGGAGCCAUGGCGGCGGGUUAGGAGUGGUGGAGGAUGGAGCUUGGGAGGUGAGGGAGGUGUGGGUGGUAGCAAUUUGAUUUUCGUGAAGGGACGAUGGUGCAUUUGGCCCAAGAAGCUACCAUGCUCUCGGUUCGGCUUCUGUCCGGAGGAAGAAGAAAAGAGGGUCGGGGCGACGACGGCCUUGCUAGCUCGACCAUGGCAGCAGUGGGGCAGGGCGUGCGACGCGGAAGGGCGGGGAUGCGGCGACCGUGACGGCUGCGAUGGUGCACAUCGCCGGGUGGCAUGGGAGGGUGGGGGUGCGGCGGUCGCGACGGCGCGCAGCGGGAUGCUCCCGCCGGCGGCCGCGACGGCUAGCUACGGGAAGCCGCCGCUGUCGUCAUCCGACACCGGGCAGAAGCGUAGGUGCCACGAGAACGCGUACUCGGAGAACGUCGCUGGCGGCAAGUACAGGGCCAACGGCGGGCGCUGCCACUGCUCCAAGUGCAUGUAACUUGGAAUUUGUAGUCGUGAACGUUGAUGCUUGAUUGUUACCGAAUCAAUCAAUCAAUUAUGCAAUGAAUCGGAGCGGAAUUGAACGAACUGAAUCUAGUGAAUUUUGCAGGAAGCACCGGAUGAAAGCGCACGAUCCACGUGCCGACGAUCAGCCUGAAGGUUGCGGACAUCCCCGCUGACGAGUACUCGUGCUCGACCAUGGCGGUAGUGGGGUAGGGCGUGCGACGCGGGAGGGCGGGGAUGCGGCGGCCGCGAUGGCACGCAGCGCCGGGUGGUACGGGAGGGUGGGGGUGUGGCGGCCGCGACGGCGUGCAGCUGCCCGAGCGGCGGCCGUGACGGCACGCAGCUCCCGUGCAGCGUCCGCGGCAGCGGGGAGCGUGUGGGCGGCGUGAGGGCCGCAGCAGGCGAACGGUGAUGGCGAGAUUGCUAGCAGAGAGGAGAGAGAGGAGAGAUGAGGGAGAGGUGGUAAGUCCACCAUGUAGAUGAUACAUGGCCAACGUAUCCAUCGGUCCACUGUAACCGACACAAUCCCGAUCCAGCUAGCAGCAGCACCAUGCGGUGCAGAUUUGCGUGACCCGUCUGACUAGGCUGCCAAGCGCGCCUCUAAAUUCUCAUCAGCUCCCCUUGCGGAAGACCACACGCGAAGGCAAGGCAAAGCAGAGCGGUGUGAGGCAUGCUGGAGCUCCUGCUGAUGGGGUGCAGCAGCGUGGUGGUGCUCCUCCACGGCGCCAGCCUCUUCCUCCGCGCGCUCUUCGCCCCGCGCCACGCCGUCGCCAGGCCCAUCAGCUUCCUCGGGUUCGUGGCCUGACCGACCGACCGUGCGCGACGGGCUGGUCAUGGAUCGGGUGGGAGCUGGGAGGGCCGGCCGAGGUGCGGAGAUCGCGUCACCUUCCGAUCGCGCUGCCAAUGGAUUAGGGGAUGCUAGUGUAAGUUAUGAAACAGAGCCCCCAUACUCAUCAAGGAGUCGAUCGAUGUGGAUUAGCUUGCUGGUCGUGUGACUGUGGAGUGUGAAAAUACGAAUACUACGCGUGUAAAUUGUAAGUUACAGUACGCCGCACCAACUGUGCCCACGGGUUAAAUCCGCGUAUCUCACUUAACGCAACCAUUAUCCUCGACAGAUCAGAGUAUCGUGUCUCA